GUUAGUGGAGGUGUCUCUGGUUAUCCCUCUUCUCUCCCUCUCCCUCUCCGCCCCCUUUUCCUCUCCCGCUUGCUGCCUUGAGGUAAGCAGCUCUGGUCACUAUAUGCUUCUCCAUGAUAUCCAGCCUCAUCUAUCACCCAAAUAGCUUUGGGUCAAACAACUACAGACUGAAACCCUUUCGCGUCUGGAUGACUCCUCAGAUGCACGGCAUGGAGCUGCAGGACUUCGUGUUUCCCUGCUGGGUUGUGGGCUUUGGUCUGAUCUUUUCUGGCUAUUCUCUCAUUCUUCCCUUUUUGAACCGGAAUGCUCACUCCGUGCCAGUAUGUGCCGAGGCAGGACUAGACUUCUUGAUUUGAUAGGAACUCACAGCUAAAGGAUUGCCCUGAGUCUCAGGAGACGAUGGACUUUUGGAGUAUUGGGACUGUUGAAGUCUAUGGGAACUUUGUUGAAAGUGACGUCACAACUUGAUAGGUGCUAGAAUAGAGCCUGGGGCAUGUCUGUGAGAUUUGUAGAUUGGGUUAACUCAUAGAUCUGGGCAGCACCAUUCAUGAGCCAAGGUUACACAAUGAAUUUUCAAAAGCAAGCUGCACAGUCUUUCAUCUCUGCUUCAUGAGAAUGUUAGACAAAUAGACCAAUAGUUGUCUCACAUCCCUGCUGCUGGACCUUCCCCACCAGGACGGACUGUACCCUCAAACUGAGGCAAAAUAAACCCUUCUUUAGGUAGAUACCCCAGUAAUCUUUUGUGGGCCUCCAGCUCUAAGUGUGAGCACCUAGCAUGCCCCCCUCUGGAACAGAGCAGUGCUGGGACAAGAACGGGACUUUGGUCUGUGUUUCUGUUGCAAAAGGCCCCCCUGGGUAAGAGCUUUCUGGUAUAUACACACCUCUCCUUACAGUCUCAUUUGCAUUUUCUUAUUUCCUUGAUUCUCACUAUUCGUGUUGGUAACAUACUGAGCACACGUCUGUAAGCUUCCACAUAGGAGAAAGAGGAAUACAGUGCUAAAAACAAACACAUGACAAAGUCGCCAUACUUGUUUGAUGACACCACUUCUGUGUCCAGAUGAGGCCAGCGUGCUCUGCAGACUGCCUGAUGCUCACCAACUGCCAGACUUUAUCUGAGAUUCUGCGCUGCUGGACACUGGGAACAUGGAAAUAAAGCCCUGCCUGAGGAGCUAACAUUCCAGCCUCAUAUAUUUUUAGUCAUCAGUUCUACAGAAAGGGAGGGAGAGUUUAAGGAGGGUGAUAGGGUAAUUUGUUUUGGGGGGGGGUUAUUUUAUUUAUUUAAUUAGAAAGAUGAUUAUUUUACAUGUCAAUCCCAGGUCCCUCUUCCUCUCCUCCUCCCUCCCCCCCAACUAAUACCCUAUCUAUCCCAUACCCUUUCUGCUCCCCAGGGAGGGUGAGGCCUUUUGUAGGGGGUCUUCAAAGUCUGUCAUAUCCUUUGGGAUAGGGCCUAGGCCAACCCCUUGUGCCUAGGCUCAGGGGGUAUCCCUCCAUGUAGGAUGGGUUCCAGAGUCCAUUCCUAUGCUAGGGAUCCACUACAAGGGGCCCCAUAGAUUUCCAAGGUUUCCUCACUGACACGCACAUUCAGGGGGUCUGGAUCAUUUGUUUUUUGUAUCCAUGUUGUAACUCAUAAAAAAUGGCUUUCAAAAUUGAGCCACAGAGGUAUAGGGAGGGUGGCAGUGUGGAG
ensembl:lncRNA